UUUAAUAUUUAAUUAAGUUAUGUAAGAUGGUAAUCAAGUGUCAAAGGUCCCGUUUUUUAAGCUGUAAACUAAAAAUAAAAAUAAAAAAUGUAACAUCAACGUUAUUUCACCCAGACAAUCACUCUUU